rnacentral:rRNA from 1 species
UACGUAGGGUGCAAGCGUUAAUCGGAAUUACUGGGCGUAAAGCGUGCGCAGGCGGUUAUGUAAGACAGUUGUGAAAUCCCCGGGCUCAACCUGGGAACUGCAUCUGUGACUGCAUAGCUAGAGUACGGUAGAGGGGGAUGGAAUUCCGCGUGUAGCAGUGAAAUGCGUAGAUAUGCGGAGGAACACCGAUGGCGAAGGCAAUCCCCUGGACCUGUACUGACGCUCAUGCACGAAAGCGUGGGGGAGCAAACAGG